GCUGCUUGAAGCGAUUGUUGUGUUUAAGACUCCAUAAAUAAAUUUGGACUAUAACGCUCCGUUUCAUCCGUUGUAAUCUUAGCUACUGCCUGGAAGCCUGCGGUGCAGUUGGCUGUAAGGCCAGCGGAACAUUAAAUGCCUUACGGACUAGACUGUUAUUUGCUUUCAAGUUUUUCAGUAAAUAAUUUAGGCCACGGCUGACAAAUCUUAAUCUCCCUCUAUUGAAACAUAAGUUAUAGUCCACCCAAUACACAGCAAUUGCCGAGGCCUGACUAAGUUUAGGGCAAUUUGACGACGUCUUUAGUAAUCUGAUUUCA
rfam:Drosophila willistoni strain TSC#14030-0811.24 scf2_1100000004516 genomic scaffold, whole genome shotgun sequence.